CUCGAGCAGUUUCCAGUACUGGAUUGAAAAGAUGGCCUUUGCUGCAUCUGCUUGAGCAAGGAAAGCCAAGAAACCUUUGCUUUGGAAGGAGAAAAUCCAGAAAGCGGGAAGGAAGAAAAGAAGCCCCCUGACUCCUCCUGAGCCCCAGACAGCCCAUGAACUGCCUUGCUGGGAAUGGUAGGAUGGGGUGGACUCUGGAUUGCUCCCUCUGGAUGUGUGGAACUCCAGGAACUCCUGGUGCCGCCUGGGCCGAUGGAUUGGACGCCCCAGCCCCUCCGUUCCUGCCCAGCCACUGGGUCCGUGUCCAGUGGUGGCACUGCCAGCCCUGCAGGUGAAGUGGGAAGGGCCUUUCCAGGUCUUGUGGGUCACAUUGAUAGAAGCUAAAUUUGCAGAAAAAGGACCUGGGGUCUGUUAUUCUUGAGUUCAGAAAGCUCCUUUGGAUUGGUGAGCAGGACAAAGUGGAUCCUUCAGAGUUCCCAUCUGUGUUUGUGUCUCAGCCUGUGUUAGGAUUCAGGGCUGUAGCUGUUGUUGUCACUGAGGAGUCAAACUAUGCUUUAAAUCAUGAGACACUGGCCUGAUGGCCAAGUGUGAGGAAAAAAGGGGGAAUGAUAUCUGAGUGUUGAGAUGUAACAAGAUCUGAUCCUUUUUGCAGUGGGAUGUAGCCUGGAAACUGCAGAGAGCUGAGCCAAGGGAUUGAAAGGGACCAAGCAAGGGAGGUGAAGAAAGAAGGAAGAAGGGAAGUGAGGCAGCAGCCAAGCAGCAGCAAGUUGCUGUGUAAGCAGUUUGGUGUUUACAGAGGGAUAAUAACUCCUGUCAGCAGCAAGGUCCUGACUGAAGUGGCAGCUGCAGUUGUUCCUGUGGUGUGGGCCAGUGGAAUUCCAAGAAAUGGACAAGGACAGAAGCUGUAAGAAUUACCCCUAAGGCAGAGUCUCUCCUGGUAAGGCAAACCCAGUAUCCUUCAAAAUUAGGAAGCCAAGCUGGAUUGGUUUUAUUAACAGCUAAAUUUGCUGAUCAUGGUUUGAUAGUAGAAUGUGAAUGGAAGGACCUGUAAAGAAAGGAAAUGGGAAAGAUGAUGGAUUGCUGGGAGCAGGGGCUGGCAGACAGUGGGAUGGAUGUUUGGUUGUGUUUGGGAAUGAGCAGCUUGACCUGCCCAGGGUUGUCUGUGCUGGGGGUGGGUUUGGGUCCUGUGUGGCCACAGGUCUGUGCAGCAGCUGGAGCCUGGGCAGGUCUGGGGGCUGUGGUGUGCCAGGCUGCUGAGUUUGUUUUGCCUGUUUCCUUGGAGUGUCCCAGUGUCCCUGCUUGGCUGUUUGUUGCCCUGCAGGCAGAAGAGCCCAGGCCUGAGCUGGCUGAGUGUUGGUGUGAGCCAGAGUGGGUGUCCCUGCCCUGGGGCCAGUCCCCAGAGCUGCCUUUGGCAUCCCCUGCUGAAGGGUGGGAGCUGCCCAGAGCCAGCAGCAUCCAGCUGGAGGAUCCAGGAGGAUGCAGCUCUGCUUUGCUGGGAGCUUGUCCAGGAGAUGGAAUUCCAGUGCUACAGUCUGGGUGGGUCAUGGUGCUCCCAAAAGGAGCCUUUGUGCCUUCAGGACAAGUUUUGGUGCCACUGGAGCUGCUGGGAGAAGCAUAGGGUUGGCAGUGAGAGGCCUGGAAUGAUGUUGGUGUGGUACAGAAGAAAUGAGCAGUGA